UGGCCCAGAUCGUUUACCGUGAAAAAAUUAGAGUGUUCAAAGCGGGCAGAUAUUUUUCCUGCCACCGAAUACAUUAGCAUGGGAUAAUGGAAUAGGACCCUGACCUCCUAUUUUCAGUUGGUUUUGUUUACAGCGAGGUUAUAUCAGGGUAAUGAUUAAUAGGGAUAGUUGGGGGCAUUAAUAUUUAAUUGUCAGAGGUGAAAUUCUUGGAUUUAUGAAAGAUUAACUUCUGCGAAAGCGUUUGCCAAGGAUGUUUUCAUUAAUCAAGAACGAAAGUUAGGGGAUCGAAGACGAUCAGAUACCGUCGUAGUCUUAACCAUAAACGAUGCCGACCAGCGAUUAGGAGACGUUGAAUACAAAACACCGCUGUUAAUCCUUUCGGGGGUUAAUAGUUGGUGAAUGACUCCCUAGCAGCUUGUGAGAAU
rnacentral:rRNA from 1 species